UCCCUGGUGGCGCAAUUGGCUAGCGCGUCCGACUGUUAAUGCUUGCUAUCGGGAGGUUCACAGUUCAAGCCUGUGCCGGGGAG